rnacentral:rRNA from 1 species
CUAUAAUGCAAGUCGAGCGGACCGACGGGAGCUUGCUCCCUUAUGUUAGCGGCGGACGGGUGAGUAACACGUGGGUAACCUGCCUGUAAGACUGGGAUAACUCCGGGAAACCGGGGCUAAUACCGGAUGCUUGAUUGAACCGCAUGGUUCAAUUAUAAAAGGUGGCUUUUAGCUACCACUUACAGAUGGACCCGCGGCGCAUUAGCUAGUUGGUGAGGUAACGGCUCACCAAGGCAACGAUGCGUAGCCGACCUGAGAGGGUGAUCGGCCACACUGGGACUGAGACACGGCCCAGACUCCUACGGGAGGCAGCAGUAGGGAAUCUUCCGCAAUGGACGAAAGUCUGACGGAGCAACGCCGCGUGAGUGAUGAAGGUUUUCGGAUCGUAAAACUCUGUUGUUAGGGAAGAACAAGUACCGUUCGAAUAGGGCGGUACCUUGACGGUACCUAACCAGAAAGCCACGGCUAACUACGUGCCAGCAGCCGCGGUAAUACGUAGGUGGCAAGCGUUGUCCGGAAUUAUUGGGCGUAAAGCGCGCGCAGGCGGUUUCUUAAGUCUGAUGUGAAAGCCCCCGGCUCAACCGGGGAGGGUCAUUGGAAACUGGGGAACUUGAGUGCAGAAGAGGAGAGUGGAAUUCCACGUGUAGCGGUGAAAUGCGUAGAGAUGUGGAGGAACACCAGUGGCGAAGGCGACUCUCUGGUCUGUAACUGACGCUGAGGCGCGAAAGCGUGGGGAGCGAACAGGAUUAGAUACCCUGGUAGUCCACGCCGUAAACGAUGAGUGCUAAGUGUUAGAGGGUUUCCGCCCUUUAGUGCUGCAGCAAACGCAUUAAGCACUCCGCCCUGGGGGAGUACGG